CUCAAUUAAACAUUAAUCAUUAUCUGAGUGUUGCUACAAUUUUGUAAUUUCAAGGUACUGUGGGUCUCAGAUCUGCCCACGAGAGGGCACUGGUGACACAGCUUUGCCUCAAAAGGUUUCCAGUUGAAAGACCAGGCAGCUUUGCUUGUGUCUAAGGAACUAAGGGUCCGAUUUCUCAUGAGCUGCUGAACCACAGAUUUUAGAGCUGAAAGACACCCUGCAAGUGAUCUAAUCCAGUCAUCAGAUGUUGCAGUUAUAAGCCAUAGGCGGGUAAAUGUGGACCUGGGAAAAUGCAGACCAACACCUUGCUGGAGUGCAAAGAGCCCCUAGCCAAUUCCUAGGCCUUUGAGAAAACCUGGAAAAAUUAACACUUGAAAUAAAUUUUGAAGAACAAGGAAAAGUUAUUGACCUAAAGGCUGACAGGGAGGAAUUCUGGAAGGAAGGAACAGCUCACUUGCUUGGAGCAAGAAGGAGAACAGACAUAAAACAUAACUGGAAGCUGUGAUGCUCCAAAAAUAUCACAGGAUCGGAUGACACGAAAACCUUCACCAAACUUGGGACCAUGACACCAUUCACACCUGGAUGUGCUGAAAUGGAGGAAACAGCAAGUCAAUAUUUAAUAAAUUUUUACUAAAGACUCUGUGCUAUGCAAGACUCCAAAUAGUAUAAAAUACUGCCCUUACCUUCAUUGAGCUUACCAGCUAGGUGAGUGCUACCCAUUAAGUGAAAGACUAAACGCUAAAAAAGCUGAACAAUAAAGUAGGUAUAUGUAUAAUACAAUCCUAGCUUUUUAAAACAGAAAGGUAUAUAUGCAUAACAAGAAAAAACUCUAAUGAUAGAUCCCAAAUUGAAAAUAGUUAUUAUUCUUGGGAAAUGUGAUCACAGGGGUUUUAUGUUUCUUUAUAAUGUGUUUCUUUAUUUUCUAAUUUUUUAUAAUAAACAUGUUAUUUUUUAUGAUACAAAAUAAAUAUAUCAUUUAAAAAAAUAAAGGUACUAUCAUAACCUAGUAUGGAAUUAGAGUCCAUAAUGUAUUUUUAAAUGGUUAGAAAUCAGUUAAAAAAUAUUAAUCCAUUAGUACAUUAACAUUAGUACAGGAAUAGACUAUUCACAGAAGAAGAAAAAAUGAAUGUCAAGAGAACACAGGUAAAGCUUUUCAAUCUCCCUAGUAAUCGGGGAAUACAAAACAAAAUAGCAAAGAAAUACCAUUUCACAAUCAUCAGAUUAUAAGAAUAUGUUUAAGUAUUUAAACAAACUAUAAAACCACUGGAAGAAAACACAGUGGAAAUGUUUCAGGACAUUGACCUAGGCAAAGAUUUUAUGGCUAAGACUUGAAAAGCAUAAGCAACAAAAAUAAAAAUAGACAAAUGGGACUAAUCUCGAAUUAAAAACCUACUGCACUGCAGAGGAAAAAUCAACAGAAUCAACAGCCUACAGAAUGGGAGUAAAUAUUUGCAAAGUAUUCAUCUGACAAGGCACUAAUGAAUAUAUGAUGAACUUAAUUCAACAGCAAAAAAAAAAAAUCUGAUUUUAAAAUGAUCAAAGAAUAGAUAUUCUCAAAACAAGACAUAUAAAUUGGCCAAUAAGUAUAUGAAAAAAUGCUCAACAUCACUAAUAUUUAGGGAAAUGCAAAUCAAAACCAUAAUAAGAUAUCUUACUCUAGUGAGAAUGGCUAUUAUAAAAAAGACAAAAAGUAAAAAAUGCUGGUAAAGACGCAGAAAAGAAGCAACUCUUACACAGUUUCAGUGGUAAAUGUAAAUUAGUACAGCCAUCAGAAUGGAGGAUGGCGGUUUCUCAAAAAACUAAAAAUAAGGCUAUCAUACUAUCCAGCAAUCUCAUUACUGGGUAUUUAUCCAAAGCAAAGGAGAUCAGUAUAUUGAAGGGACAGCUGCACCCCCAUAUUUAUUGCAGCUCUAUUCACAAUCGCCAAGAUAUGGAGUUGACCUAAAUGUUUAUCAACAGAUGAAUGGAUAAAGAAAAUAUGGUAUGUACACACAAUGGAAUACUAUUCAGCUAUAAAAGGAAUAAAAUCUUGUCAUUUGUGGCAACAGGGAUGAUCCUAGAGGACACUAUGUUAAGUGAAAUAAGUCAGGCACAGAACGGCACUCAUGUGGAAACUAAAAACAAAUUGAGCUCAUGGAAGUAGAGAGUAGAAUUGUGGUUAUUAGAGGCUGGGAAGGGUAAGAGGAAGAGGAGGAUAGGAGAGGUUAAAAAUGGAAAAAAAAUCACAGGUAGAUAGGAGUUUUAGUGUUCUAUAGCACUGUAGGUGAAUAUAGUUAACAAUAAUUUAUUGUGUAUUUUCAAAAAGCUAGAAGAUUUUAAAUGUUCACAACACAAAGAAAUGAUAAAUAAGGUGAUGGAUAUACUAAGCUGAUUUUAUCAUUACAUACUAUAUACAUGUAUUGAAAUAUCACCCUGUAUGUUACAAAUAUGUAUAAUUAUGUGCCAACUAAAAAUAAAAGAAAAAAAUAAAAACAAACAAAAAUUUCUAUCAUUCUUAUGCUCAAGGAAGUCAAGGUAAAAAUCUGUGGAACAUGAGUCUUCUGACCCCAUUCUCAAUGGAAGUGGAUUCUCUGUCUGAGGUGAUACAAUGUGGGUAGAGAGACAGAGAGAGGCAGACAGCAAUGAUAAGUUGUACAGGACAGAAAAGACAUACAUAGCUGCUAAUUGACAGGGCAGCCAUUGGAGUGACAGCAGUAGCUGAGCUUAGAGUGACUUUAGUGCAAGCCUACAGCUGAGCUGCAAUCCAAAGAACUCAGCGAAAGUAGGACAGUACCGAAAUUUUCAGUAGCUAGCAAUUCAGGAUUAAAGCCAAGGGCAGACACUGGAGGAUGACAGUGGUUGGGUGACAAAUCCCUCCCUCACUGUUCUUAUUUUUACUAAUGUCACAGUCAUCUUUGAUGAGAUUGAACCCUUUGUCAUUU
rnacentral:lncRNA from 10 species